AACGAACGCUGGCGGCAGGCUUAACACAUGCAAGUCGAGCGACCCGCAAGGGGUGCGGCAGACGGGUGAGUAACACGUUGGAAUCUACCCAUCCCUACGGAACAACGGCGGGAAACUGACGCUAAUACCGAAUAUGACGAGAGUUGAAAGAUUGAUCGCCAGAGGAUUAGCCCGCGUUAGAUUAUGGUAGUUGGUGGGGUAAUGGCCUACCAAGCCGACGAUCUAUAGCUGGUUUGAGAGGAUGAUCAGCCACACUGGGACUGAGACACGGCCCAGACUCCUACGGGAGGCAGCAGUGGGGAAUAUUGCACAAUGGACGAAAGUCUGAUGCAGCCAUGCCGCGUGUGUGAUGAAGGCCUUCGGGUUGUAAAGCACUUUUGGCGGGGACGAUAAUGACGGUACCCGCAGAAUAAGCCCCGGCUAACUUCGUGCCAGCCGCCGCGGUAACAC
rnacentral:rRNA from 1 species